CGUGCCGCUGGGGGACAUCGCAGGCCUCAGCCGCCUGGCCCGCGACACCGCGGACGUCGCCGUCGCGGGCGGGGCGUUCGUCGCGGUCGGCUCGGCCA
rnacentral:tRNA from 1 species